UUGAAGUAGUCUUGUCUUAGACUGGCCUGGAACUCAGCUCCGCCUGCCUCUGCCCCCUGGGUGGUGGGAUUCAAAGCAUGUGCCACCACACCUAUCCACUGGGACCAUGACAAAUUGUAUGGAUGAUCCCUUUCUUAGCCCUGUUGGAAGGGCUGUUGUCUGUAUGAGUGUAGAGUCCGCAGCGGCAGCCCCUCAGGCAGAUGGGCAAUGGAGGUGUGAUUAUCAGAGUGAGUGAAGCCUUCUGACCUCAGGGAUCCUCUUCCCUUGAAAUGAAGCUAUCAGGUGGCCCAGUGUGUGAGCACAGCUCCCAGCACCCCCACGCCAGUGGUCCCAGCUGCCUUCUCUUCUGUGUACUUGCUGGAAGCUUGAAGCUUGAAAAGGCAGGUGAAAGACAUGGGGAGGGAGAAACUACCUAACUGUUGAAGUUGCUGUUGGUGUCAGAAUUAGUGUUUAAGGAGCUAAUUUUGGAACCAGAAACCAUGCCCCGGAAGUGACAUAAACCUAAUAAGCACAUUAUGUCAUGCCCUGGAGUGGUGUCUCUUAUUCCCAUAGUCAUUGUGGUUGGGAUCAGAAGAACCAACUCAGAAGAGUUGGGGACAAACAAGGCUGCAGCACUUUUAAGACUGGGCGCUUUCCACAGAGUCCUCCCCACAGGAAAAGUCUGUUGUCUUUAGUACAAUCUACAGAGUAGCCACAUUCCUGAGACAAGUCAUACAAAGGAAGCUGUUUAUACUUAACAGCUUUAUUCACCUUGCAAAUGUUUGCAUAUAUUCUAUUUUCACACCACAGCAGAGCCAGCAGUCCUGUGGAACACAUUUGUGCCACAGUCUGUGCUGGUCUAUGUGGAUGACAGCAACAGGUACUUUCUUACUAGAAACAAGAUGUCAGAGUACACGGUUGAGACAGAAUUUGUAGCACUUCGAAUAUUUGGUAGGGGUGACUUUACUAAAAGUUCCGGCUGGCUAAAGACGUUUCUCUUGGUAGCACCUGUUAGAAAUAAGAGGAAAGAUGAUAGGAUAUGUCAAGGUCAGAGCCAAGACCUAAUUUCCUUUGCCCUUCUCCCAGCCAGACACUGAGCCCUGCAGUGACCUGGUGCCUCUGCAGCCAGGAUGCAGUCUCCGUGUAGUUCCCUGAGCUUUCCACCUUGACAUAAUUGUCUACAACAGCUCUCCAUGCUUCUAUUGAAACAGAAAGCCUGUUGCCAGGCUCCAGUGCAGUCUAAGGAGCCUUGGGAAGUCUUCUAUGGCUCCAGGUAACCUCUGGGUGCUAGGAUGGCUAGGGACUCAACUUGAGUAUUCCAGUUCCAUGUAGAACUCUGGGAGCAGCCACCCAAGAGCAGCGCUAAGUGAAUUCUGAGGUCUUAGUUUGGGCUGUGCUGUGGUCCCAGCCAAAGGCAUUCUGCUGAGUCCCGAGGCCUGAUUUCCAUUUUUACUUGGUAAGUCCCUGUGAAGAGGGUAUUUUUGGAUAUUGACUUAAUCUUUUGUUCCUCCUUUGUAGUAAGAAGUGACUAACCUUAAUGAAGAUGGGAGUUGUAGCUUAGAGAUGUGAGUUUUAUUACUGCUUUUGACACUAAGAGACCCUAAGCUAUUUAUUUAAUCUUUUUAUAGGAUAAGCAUACUUACCUAUAAACUGGUCUGUUUUGAGAGCUUUUGGAUUGCCUUUGAUCUCCUUGGAAGUGGAGGCUAAGUAAAUAAAAGGUACUCUCACUAGUUUCUGUGAUGGCAGCAGUAGAUUCCAGACCCACAGUCUGCUAAUUCAGUCAGCUAGGCUGCCCAGCAAAGCUAAGAUGUAAAGAGACUCCCGGUGCUGGCUGUACUUUCGUCAGCAUGUGGGAGAACUCAGAGACUUGGUAGCCACAGGAAUGAAUAACCAGUGACUCACGAAGACUCGCAGAUAAUGUUACUCCUCAUUUCCCCCUGUUGCUAUUGUUCUCUGUUUUAUGGAUCGCACAAAUUUUCUCCAGACAACCUUAUUCUUCCCUUGCUGUUGGAAACUGCUCCAAGUGUAGCCUCAGGGCUGUCGUCUCCCAUUGGGUCAGUGUGAGCUCAGUCCAGCGCCUCAAAUCCCCUGGUUCCUUUGGUCUGUCUGGAGUCCCUGCUCAGGCUUUGUUGUGGGAGAGUGAGGCAGAGAGCCACAGCUUGCCCAGACAGUCUGAGACCUGGCCAUGCAGCUUGCAGUUCCCUAGACACUCUGGGGUUGGACUUGGCCCGCCAUUCCUCUGUUGUUACUUUUCAGAGGUAAUAAGUGAGAUUAAUUGCAGGCCAUUCUCCAGAAGAGAGACUUGUUAGGGCCAAAUGCAGUCACAUGUGUAAAGCCUGCGGCAUGCCUCAGGCAAGGGCAGUGUGGCGUUACCCAGCAGGACUCCAGGAUGCAGGUACCACAUUUUAUGACUUUUUUUCUCAGGCCUUGUCUCUGGUCUCUAGAUGUUAGUACCUGGCUAUUUUGGAUUUUCCCCAGCUAGUGAGCAAGAUUGGGUUUCCCAUUUUGGGUUUUCUGGGCACAGAGGGAACCAUUUGAGGCUGAGAGCAGGUGUGCAAGUCUCUCUCCUCUCUCCUUCCAUGGAGCUGGACCACAUCGCCAGGGAGACUUUCUAGGUGAGGAGCGCCUGGUGGGCUGAGGGUGUUUUUCUCUUCCUGAGUCCUAUUAUGAGACCUGGAAGGGUUACUUAUAAAGCCUUGGCUGCUGCUUGGAGUGAUUUGGGAAGGACAGGGCCUCAGACAGCUUGGCAGGAACCUGAGGCCCUGUUUUUUCCAGACCAGCCCUUCCUUGUGGGUCGAGCUGUCAGGGAAUCCCACGAAUGUCUGGCUUCUGCCCCUUUGUGUGUUUUUCCAGCAUUUGUCAUUGAAUUAUUUUUAUCCAUCUCUGGCUUUUUCACACACAUGCACCCCCCCCCACACACACACACACAUACAUACACACACACACACACACACACACACACACACACACACACACACACACACAGAGAGAGAUCCUAGGGAUUUAUCUGUUCCUCGAUGUUAAAGUUAGGAGAAUUGACAGAAUACAUGCAGAGUUUAUUCGUACUUGUAAUGGGACAAGAUAUUUUGAUAUUUUGGGCAUGAGAUGCUCAGUCAGCUCUAACUCCAAGUAAGCGCUUCCAUCUCCAAACUUGGCAUUCUACCAGAGAAUGGGAAUCCUGACAAUUGCAGACAGUCUCUGUUACUCCUUCCCUCUGUCCUGUUCUUCAGUAACCAGUCAGAAAAAGCCUGGUGUUCUGCUGUGUCUAACAUGUAGAAUAAAUUUUUCAAAGAUUCUGAUUCCAGUUUAGCUAAUAACUUUUCUCCAUUUGUUUAAAUUACUUCCCCCAAAUAGUGCUGGGGGAAUAGUGCAGAGACUCAGGUCUCUGACUUAACAUCUUUUCAUUCUUGGUCAUUGGUCAGCAGCAUUUGCUGUGUUCAUGAUAUUUCCUGCGCAUUUCCUAUGUCAGGCAUUAUGCUACAUGCCAGGCUGGAGCAUCAAGUAAUACAGAGUAGCCUCUGAUCUCCAGACUGUGUGGUCCUUGUACUCAGUAGAGGGUUUACAGGUAGGUAGGGAUUAAAAGAUAUGUAAUCCCUGGUGUUUGAUCACCAAGAAGUUAACAUCUGGUAUGAAAAGGAGUUGUAUACACAUGAAACAAUUAGAGAGCCAUUCCAGACAGCAUAUGCUGGUAACUGCAUUUUAUGGCACAGGCAAUUGAAAAGACAAUGAAGAACGGAUCAGACUUCGGUCCUUUCAGACAUUAUUGCUACAGAAUGACAGAACCUUUAGCUAGUGCACUGAGAUGAGCCCAUCACAAAGGAACAAACACAUGCACUCUCUAAAGCACCCAGGGCCAUAGAGAUAGAAUGUACGGGGUUGCCAAGGGCUGGGCAAGAGGAGAGGAAACGUCAGUCUGUCAGUGUUUAGUAGGUAUAGAAUUUCAGCCCUGCAAAAUGAAAAUAUUUUAGGAUUUAAUGUAGAAUAAUGUGAAUGUAUUUAACAUUAUUACGUGUUAAGUAAGUACAUGUAAAAUGGAAAAUACAAAAUUGUGUGCUUUUUAGAACACUUUAUAAAACAACAACAUGACAAAUCUAUGCAAAGAUUUAAAAGAGAGGUCUAUGUUCCACAGAAGCUGUUCAGAAACCAAAGCUGCCAACUUAAUAGGAAAUGGGACUGAAAUCCCUGCAGGGAAGGAAGGUGUGUGGCAACAGAAAGGGAGAGAACCUAGGGUAUGACAGACCUUGCUUUUCUCAAGCGAGCUUGGACAAGUUAUAGUUAGCUAUACCUUCAACUACCCCCAACUUGUGUGUGUGUGUGUGUGUGUGUGUGUGUGUGUGUGUGUGUGUGUUUGUAUGAUAGUAUGAUAGUUAAUAGAGAUUAAGCCUACAGCCUAUGCAUUGCUAAACAAGCAUUCUCCCACUGAGCUAUAGCCCCAGCUCUAUCUAUCUUU
rnacentral:lncRNA from 1 species